rnacentral:lncRNA from 1 species
GGAAGGUCAGAAUGGGGAAGGUAGGACUUGGGGAGAGCCAGAAAGCUGGGCCACAGAAUGCCCAUCAUGUGGCUUUGGCAGGGAUACCUUCUCCCCUGUCUCCUGCGAUGACACAGAAAAUACAUCCGAGGAAGUGGUUUCAGGAUUCCCCUGGGAAAAGCGGGGUGACAGCGCAGCUUGAGGAAGUUCAGACAUGUCCCCAGUCUCAUUUGCCGUUCUUCCCCUUUCCUCAUCAAGUGGGCCCUGACAACCUUUCUUUCUGAAGCUACAUAAAUUAAACAGGGUUAAGACUCUCAGUCCUUGUUCCAGCUCCAAAACAAGCCAAGACAAGAAAGGAUCCCGCAGACACAAAGAUAUUGAAAGUAUAUUUGUGCAAAGACAAAACAGUAAAUGAUGAGAUUCCAAGCCUCUCCAACUCUCUUGCUCUUCUAUUAAUUCUCGGACUUUCUCAUCACUAUCUAAAGAAAAGUCAAGUUGAAGGAGUUAUGUAGUCUCCCCUCCCCCAGCCUGAAACCUGCUUGCUCAGGGGUGGAGCUUCCUGCUCAUUCAUUCUGCCAUGCCCACUGCUGGAACCUGCGGAGCCACACACGUGCACCUUUCUACUGGACCAGAGAUUAUUCGGCGGGAAUCGGGUCCCCUCCCCCUUCCUUCAUAACUGAGUGUCACAACAGUAAAAUUUGAGCUUUGAUCAGAGUAA